CCUAUCUUCAAAAAGCUAUUAUAGAGAAUUGGUGUAAUUCCUUCCUUAAAUGUUUGGUAAAAUUUACCAAUGAACCCACAUGGGCCUGGU